rnacentral:rRNA from 1 species
GAGUCUGACGGAGCACGCGCGUGAGUGAUGAAGGCUUUCGGGUCGUAAAACUUGUUGUUAGGGAAGAACAAGUGCUAGUUGAAUAAGCUGGCACCUUGACGGUACCUAACCAGAAAGCCACGGCUAACUACGUGCCAGCAGCCGCGUAAUACGUAGGUGGCCGUUGUUCUCCGGUAUUAUUCGUAAAGAGGGCCGAGGGUUCUUUCUUUUAGAUGUAAAAUCCCCCGGCUCAACCUGGGAACAGCAUCU